rnacentral:misc_RNA from 1 species
GAAAUGCGAUAAGUAAUGUGAAUUGCAGAAUUCAGUGAAUCAUCGAAUCUUUGAACGCACAUUGCGCCCGCCGGUAUUCCGGCGGGCAUGCCUGUCCGAGCGUCAUUUCACCACUCAAGCCCAGCUUGGUGUUGGGGCACCCGGCCGCCCGGCGGUCGGGGCCCCCAAGAACAUCGGCGGUCUCGCUAGGACCCUGAACGCAGUAACUCGCGGUAAAACGCGCUUCGUUCGGCGGCUUCCCGGCGGGCUCCAGCCGCUAAACCCCCUAAAUUUCUUAGGUUGACCUCGGAUCAGGUAGGAAUACCCGCUGAACUUAA